rnacentral:rRNA from 1 species
UUAGUGGCGGACGGGUGAGUAAAGCGUGAGCAACCUGCCUAUUAGAGGGGGAUAACGUUCGGAAACGGAUGCUAAUACCGCAUAUAGUACAUAAUUCGCAUGAAUAAGUGUAUGAAAGGAGCAAUCCGCUGAUAGAUGGGCUCACGUCCGAUUAGUUAGUUGGUGAGGUAAAGGCUCACCAAGACCACGAUCGGUAGCCGGGCUGAGAGGCUGAACGGCCACAUUGGGACUGAGAUACGGCCCAGACUCC